UAACUGUUCACGUUUCGACGGUAUCUAACCAGAAAGCCACGGCUAACUACGUGCCAGCAGCCGCGGUAAUACGUAGGUGGCAAGCGUUAUCCGGAUUUAUUGGGCGUAAAGGGUGCGUAGACGGGACAGCAAGUUAGUUGUGAAAGCCCUCGGCUUAACUGAGGAACUGCAACUAAAACUAUUGUUCUUGAGUGCAGGAGAGGAAAGCGGAAUUCCUAGUGUAGCGGUGAAAUGCGUAGAUAUUAGGAGGAACACCAGUGGCGAAGGCGGCUUUCUGGACUGUAACUGACGUUGAGGCACGAAAGUGUGGGGAGCAAACAG
rnacentral:rRNA from 1 species